rnacentral:tRNA from 1 species
CAGAGAGUAGUUUUUAAAAUAAUAAUUUUGGAUAUUAUAGUUGAGUGUAUCCUUUCUGA